AUUUAUAUAGUUUAAAAAAACAUUACAUUUUCAUUGUAAAAUUAGAAAAUCUCUUAUAAAUA
rnacentral:tRNA from 1 species